rnacentral:rRNA from 1 species
CAACCCUGCCUUUCAGAGGGGGAGUAACAUUUGGAAACAGAUGCUAAUACCGCAUAAGAUUACAGUACCGCAUGAUACAGUGAUCAAAGGAGCAAUCCGCUGAAAGAUGGGCUCGCGUCCGAUUAGAUAGUUGGUGAGGUAACGGCUCACCAAGUCGACGAUCGGUAGCCGGACUGAGAGGUUGAACGGCCACAUUGGGACUGAGACACGGCCCAG